AUUGAACGCUGGCGGCAUGCUUUACACAUGCAAGUCGAACGGCAGCGCGGGCUUCGGCCUGGCGGCGAGUGGCGAAUGGGUGAGUAAUGCAUCGGAACGUGCCCAGUAGUGGGGGAUAGCCCGGCGAAAGCCGGAUUAAUACCGCAUACGACCUGAGGGUGAAAGCGGGGGACCGAAAGGCCUCGCGCUAUUGGAGCGGCCGAUGUCGGAUUAGCUAGUUGGUGGGGUAAAGGCUUACCAAGGCGACGAUCCGUAGCUGGUCUGAGAGGACGACCAGCCACACUGGGACUGAGACACGGCCCAGACUCCUACGGGAGGCAGCAGUGGGGAAUUUUGGACAAUGGGGGCAACCCUGAUCCAGCCAUGCCGCGUGCGGGAAGAAGGCCCUCGGGUUGUAAACCGCUUUUGUUCGGGAAGAAAUCCUCUGGGCUAAUACCCCGGGGGGAUGACGGUACCGGAAGAAUAAGCACCGGCUAACUACGUG
rnacentral:rRNA from 1 species